rnacentral:rRNA from 1 species
UACGUAGGGUGCAAGCGUUAAUCGGAAUUACUGGGCGUAAAGCGUGCGCAGGCGGUUAUGUAAGGCAGGUGUGAAAUCCCCGGGCUUAACCUGGGAACUGCAUUUAUGACUGCAUAGCUAGAGUACGGUAGAGGGGGAUGGAAUUCCGCGUGUAGCAGUGAAAUGCGUAGAUAUGCGGAGGAACACCGAUGGCGAAGGCGACUACCUGGCCUGUUCUUGACGCUGAGGCGCGAAAGCUAGGGGAGCAAACGGG